GACGAACGCUGGCGGCGUGCCUAAUACAUGCAAGUCGAACGAAGCGGGGACGGGUGAGUAAAACGUGGAGAACCUCCCAUAAGACUGGGAUAACUUCGGGAAACCGGAGGUAAUCCGGAAACUUAUCGCUGAAUCCGCGCGUCAUUAGCUAGUUGGUAAGGUAACGUCUUACCAAGGCAACGAUGCCUAGCCGACCUGAGAGGGUGACCGGCCACACUGGAACUGAGACACGGUCCAGACUCCUACGGGAGGCAGCAGUAGGGAAUAUUCCGCAAUGGGCGAAAGCCUGACUGAGCAAUGCCGCGUGAGUGAUGAAGGUCUUCGGAUCGUAAAACUCUUUUAUUAGGGAAGCGUUACCUAAUCAGAAAGCAACGGCUAACUACGUGCCAGCAGCCGCGGUAAUUC
rnacentral:rRNA from 1 species